rnacentral:rRNA from 1 species
CCUACGGGUGGCAGCAGUGGGGAAUAUUGCUCAAUGGGGGAGACCCUGAAGCAGCGAAGCCGCGUGAGGGAUGACGGACUUCGGUUUGUAAAACCCUUUUUGCAGGGAAGAAAAUGACGGUAUCUGAGUAAUAAGCCCCGGCUAACUACGUGCCAGCAGCCGCGGUAAUACGGCGGGGGCAAGCGUUAUUCGGAAUUACUGGGUGUAAAGGGGGCGUAGACGGGAGUGCAAGUCUGGAGUGAAAGGCGAGGGCUUAACCCUCGUACUGCCCUUGAAACUGUACUGCUGGAGUGCAGGAGGGGUAAGUGGAAUUCCUGGUGUAGCGGUGAAAUGCGUAGAUAUUAGGAGGAACACCAGUGGCGAAGGCGGCUUACUGGACUCUAACUGACGUUGAGGCACGAAAGCGUGGGGAGCAAACAGGAUUAGAUACCCUUGUAGUC